AGAGUUUGNNNNNGGCUCAGGAUGAACGUUGGCGGCGUGCCUAAUGCAUGCAAGUUGAACGAGAAGCGCCUUCGGGCGUGGAGAGUGGCGAACGGGUGAGUAACAAGUAACUGAUCUGCCCUGUAGAACGGGAUAACUGCUGGAAACAGCAGCUAAUACCGACUAAGCUCACGGUGACUAGAAGCCCGUGAGAAAAGGCUGAGGCGCUACAGGAUGAGGUUGCAUCCCAUCAGCUGGUUGGUGAGGUAAUGGCUCACCAAGGCGAUGACGGGUAGGGGGCCUGAGAGGGCGUUCCCCCACACUGGGACUGAGACACGGCCCAGACUCCUACGGGAGGCAGCAGCAAGGGAUAUUGCACAAUGGACGGAAGUCUGAUGCAGCGACGCCGCGUGGGCGAAGAAGGUUUUCGGAUCGUAAAGCCCUUUCUGUGUGACG
rnacentral:rRNA from 1 species